AUAAAAGCUAUGAUCGUGUAAAGUAGAGAACCAUUUUCUAUCAGAGAGAGAAAAUCACCGGCUGAAAGUUUUCUUUAGUUCAGAUGGGGAUCGAAUUUCCCACGGGAGCUGUAUUUCUGAAAUAAGUAGGAAGUACCGUAGACUGUACGUUACACAGACUUGAGUGUCCGCAUAUGAUGUGCGGGAAACAGGGUGGUACCGCGAACAACAUCGUCCCUUGU
rnacentral:ncRNA from 1 species